UACAGAGGGGGCAAGCGUUGUCCGGAAUCAUUGGGCGUAAAGCGCGUGUAGGCGGCUCGGUAAGUCCGCUCUGAAAGCCCGGGGCUCAACCCCGGGAGGCGGGUGGAUACUGCUGAGCUCGAGUCCGGAAGAGGAGUGUGGAAUUCCUGGUGUAGCGGUGAAAUGCGCAGAUAUCGGGAAGAACACCUAUGGCGAAGGCGGCUCACUGGCUCGGUACUGACGCUGAGGUGCGAAAGCGUGGGGAGCAAACAGG
rnacentral:rRNA from 1 species